GGUAUGAAAGGGUUAACGAAGAAGGUGCUGUGUCUAAAAAUUCAAUUUAAACUAACUUUAAGGUGAAGAGGCCUUUAUGUAAAAGAAGGACGACAAGACCCUAUGAAGCUUUAUCUUAUUUGGAGCUCUCAGGCUCUUAUACGAUUUUGAUGGGAGAUCAGUAGAAAUAAGUCUUCUACUAUCAUAUUAAUCUUACUAGUAUUUCCUAACUUUAUAUGUGUGGCUAGCUACUCUAGGGAUAACAGCGCAAUUUCUCCCGAAAGAUGGUAUUGGAGGGGAAGAUUGCGACCUCGAUGUUGGCUUUAGAUAUCCUAGAGGCGUAGAAGCUUCU
rnacentral:rRNA from 1 species